rnacentral:lncRNA from 1 species
AGGAAAGUUAUUAAUUCUAGGAAGCGAUUGCGUGCUCAUGUAGGACUUGAUGAAGGAGAGGUGAGUACAUGAAAAUAUGUCCAGAGAAAUUUCUCUUUAUUUACCUUCCUUUUCUAUUUUGAGAUAUAUUCUUCAGUUUCUUUUUAACAUAUAUUCUUCAGUUUAUUUGUACAUUGAUGCCCCAGAUCUGGUGAGCUUGUUUCUUUUUGAGAUAUAUUCUUCAGUUUACUUGUACUAUUUAUAUACCUAGAUUCACUGGAUUAUCAUGUGAAACUGAUGUUUCAGUAAUUUGAGAUUUGUUAUUUAUAUUUGACUGCUUCAUUGUUCUCUGAAACUGCAGGUAUGUCCCAAGUGAACUGGAUUAUUAUGAUGAUUUCGUCGAUUCAUACUCCUUUUUAUCCUGAAAUAAAUGGCUUUCACCUUUGGGCAGUUCAAGUGAUGGAAGAUAUUGUUUCAAUGAUAUUGAAGCUUUUUAGAUACUAUGGCAGUUAAGGUUCAUUUGAAGUCGCGGAUGGAUGCAUGAUUUAUGCAGAAAUGUAUAAGUGCCAUGUAGUGGUUAAUUAGAGGUAUACAUUAGUGCAUACAAUUCUUUUAUUCUCUGCUUCAUGAUCUGGACAAAGAGAUACAUUAUUAGCUUAAUUGGAGUAUUGUUGGUUAGUGCAGUAUCUAUAGACUGUUAAUAUUGUUAUUUUUGUUAUUCUAUGCAUGUGAACACUGCCGAAAAGGGUGUCUUCGGAGAUUUUCUUUCUUCCAAUAUUUCCAAUUAAAAGGCUAAAAUUAACAAUUCAUUUGUAAUUUCAAUAUUCUGUGAGCCCUGCUGUAUAUACUGUCAGGCUACACAUGUAUCUCUUACUAUGUCAAGCAUUAUCAGUUUAUGCACAGAUUUAUCUAGCUUUGCUGUCAUUUUUGUAGUGGAUGUGUAGGUUUAUCACAGUACCCAUUUUACCAUUUAUGGUGUUUGACUGUAUCCCGUUCGCCACCGGGCUUAUCUAGAAGCGUACACUUCUUGCUAGCUCCCCACUAGGUUUCUAGGGUAAAAUCCAUGGAUGAAAAUAGACGAUCACGAUAGAAGGCAGGGCACAUCUGACAGCCCAAACUCCCCACAGUAGUCCUGCUGCUUGCAUUGUGCUUGGGUUCAAAAUUUUCUCCUGGAAGUUUUCGUGCAGCUAUAGAAUUAUUUAGAGUAUAGUUCCCGGACCUUAUUCAUGUGUUCUUUUUGUAGGUGUAUGGAAGUACAAGUACGCUGUGGCUAAUUUGUUCCCUUUUUUAUUGUUGUUACCGUGUCCUAUCUCAGGUGUUCUUCGACUAAAAUCAGGCUGCUCCUGCCAUGUCUACCAGUGAAAUGCCUCCUUCCAUGAUAAAGCAGCCUACUCUUAG